rnacentral:lncRNA from 1 species
UUGUCUAACUAUAACCGGACAACUAUCCUAUUUCAUAUUACCUGUAAAUCAAGUCUAAAUCGAGUCCCUAGAUAUAGAAUUUCUACUGUAGCAUAUUACCUAUCAAUGAAUAUUACUAGCGUAUUCCAUCUGAAUAUGAAAUAGGAAUAGGCAAUAUACCUUAUUUGAUGCGUAAGCACACUGCCAGAGAGUUCAAAGGUACUCGGAAUCCUACACUUCCGUGUCCUGAAAGAGAAUGCUCCCCUUGGGUUUCAACUGCUAGACUGUCUACCUUUUGCCCUGUCAAGGCACCUACUCCCCUGCUUGCUAUAGGUCCUCUUAGACUCUUACUAUCAGUUCUCGUAACGACUCUUCUACUUGAAUCAUAUUAGCCGACUUCUUUAUGGCUCUCUCAAAUUCUUUUUCAAUCUUCUUUCUUUCUCAUAUUCAUUCAUCCGACGGAGCGGAGCAUUGAAUUUAUAGAGGACGACAGGCGCAAAGAAGAAAAAGAAGGCCCCAUACCAUAAGACAGGUCCGAAGGACUAUCCAUCAGGCGCAAAGAAUUUGCCUCGUUUAUCCAUUAAAAAAGAAUGAUCGAAAAAGUCAUGAUUCCACUAGUCUAGAUUUUCUGACUUGAGGCUCAAAGAAUGAUCGGAGUUUCAUUACGUUUCGGUUCAUUUUUGGAGCGAAGUCAAAAGAAAGCGGAAAUCUUCCAGUCCUACGUGCCAAAGAAAGGUCCAGGGUCCGGAGUCCGGAGGAUUUAUCCGUAGGACCAUCCAUAUGGAAGGAAGGACUCUAAAACGGAGGAUUUAUCCGUAGGACUAUCCGUAAUUAACCGAAGGAGUGGGCCAUGAUCUUUGCAGAAAGCCGAGCCUUUAAUUCUUUGCACCUUCCAGUCUCGCAUAUUGAAUUGCGCCUUCGGACCAUAAAUCAGUCCAACAAUUAGGAACUUAAGGAAGGCGUAGAAUUCUCUGCACUCCUCUUAAGUCGCUUCUCAAAGAGCAAAAUAAAGCUCUCAAAUUUUCUCCGCAACUCAUAUUGCAUUGAGCCUUUGUUUUUGCUCCUAUUAGUGGAAUCUUUGAGACUCAUAAGAAAAGAAAGUGAAAUACGAAAUAUUCUUUCUCAACAAUAUCCCUGUCUUAUGGAGCCCAGAAAAGAAAAGUGGGCCUUUUUUAUAAGAGGACUAUCCGUCCGAAGGCGCAAAGAAUAUUGCUCGAAAGUGAGAGUGUGGAGUCAAGCCUCAGAUACAUAACUAGAGAGAGAUAAGUAGUCCGGGCGAGCAGCUUCUUACUGAAUUACCUUUGUAAAUGAAAGAGCUCACACAGCUACUUCCGAAACUGGGACCUCUCCCUCUGCAUGGGCUGCUUCAUACCUUUCCCGAGUCAAUUGAGAAUUACCUUGAUUCUGAAGCUUUAUAAUGGAACUUCUUUCAUGACGGAACUCAGCACACCCUAUGAAAAUGAGUUCGAGCUCCCGCUCCGUGGGAAUUGAACCGCUCCGUCGGUCCUAGUCUGAAAUCUACCAGUCUCAUCACCCCAUUAAUAAAGUAGCUUCAUUGAUCUAUUUUGAUGCCUCUAAGUCUCGCGAUUAGUUCUAAUCCAACUCAGCAGCUUCCGACACCCCUCUUCUUGGUCUCGCAACUUUGUCCCACUUAAAUGAGUUAGUCGAUUCCCCUUUGCUUCGGAAACAUCUCAUGCCAAUACCGCAGGAAAUGGCACAACGGGCCUCGCGGACUCUAUGACGACUUUCUUAUCUGAAAUCGUUGAUAAUCACAGGUUAAUUCAAAUGAGAAAACGGAUAGUUUUUACUGGUAGGAAGCAGAAUGAACAAGACAGAAGAAAUGCUCUCUCAUCGCGCAAUAACUCGGGACUGAACCGAUCUUACGAAGAAAGCCUCAAGCUAGGAUUAUCAAGGUUCAAAGAAUAUUGACCUAGAGAAAAGAAGGCGCAAAGAAUAUUGCGACCAAGCGCACACUCUUUUUUUUAGUCGUCCCCCGUUGCAGUGGAAGUCCUCGCUCUUAAGGAAUCAAUGAAGAAGGUGAAAAGAGAGGGUAAAGAAUGAAAAAAGAAAGAAGAAGAGGCUGAAUUCAUUGAGUUGCGGAGAGAAAGAAUUUGAGUCCGGGCAAAGAUUUCCCGAAAUGGUAGGACCGAGCAUGAAGCAAGAGCUAAGCUGAGGCCUCAUCUUCUUCAGAAGUACUUUCACUAUUAGUUGAGGCGGGGAAGUUAUGUUUCGGAAGACUUCCUGUGAGUACGAUUUAGUUAGAGCUCUUGUUCGCCGAACAUGCAUAAGAGACUCGACCAGAGUUCAGUUGCUUCGGAGAUAAUUACUUUUUUUUUGAAUGAGAAGAAAAAGAGAAAAAAAGAGCCUUAUUGAAAGGUGCAAAGAAUAUUGCCUGAGUUCAUUUUCCGCUUUCUUUCUUUUUGGGGUCAGAAUGACCUCAAAACUCCUCUCAAUUCAUUCAGCCUAAGGUCUUAAGACUCCUUUCUAUUUAGGGCAAGUCCGGAGGACGGGGAUCAUGACUGAGAUUAUUGGAAUCAGACUCAAGAGGAGCGGUCUUAAGACUCCUUGCUAUUUUAGGGGUCCAGGUGCGUCACAGGUUAAUAUGGAUAGUCCUUCGGACUGAUGAAAAUGACAUCGUUUUUUCUUUCUUUCAAUCUUUGAAAUGGGGGUAGCAAUGAAAAAGUCCUCACCCUCACGCAGCGCAGCAGUAGUCCCGAUCAGUGCACGAGAGCCCAUGCAAGGGCGCCUGCUUCCCUUUCUCCAACGAGAACUGGAUGAACUCUGAAUUAGUGCAAAAUAGAUUGAUUGGUAUUAUAUACAACCUAGUAGGCCUACGCAAGAAUGGAGUGCCGCCCUUCACCUCAUUGAAGAAUGAAUCUUCUGUCUUCCGCCUUCCUUCCUCUCCACUUGGGCGAGUCGAGCUAUCCUCGCGACUAAGCAAAAAGAGUGCUUUCUUCUUCCUUUUAACGGAAGCUCCGAUCUAAGACUGCUUCAGACUGAAGCUCCUUCUCCCCGUCCUGGUCUCGCAUAUUCCAUUCCAGGUGAGGUUCUAAACGUCGAGUCAUUUCAUUGAUCGGCUUGGGUCCUCGUAUUCUUGAAAUUCAAAGAAUGAAUAAGGAAGAGCUCUUACCGAUCUUCUCGAAGAACCGACAGCUACUUCCUCUCAAGCCGAUUCUUCUUCUUUUUUCAUGCCGAGAAAGAGGAGAAUGCUGCUUAAAGUAGUAGGCUGUCCCCUCCCGUCCGUCCUUACUGUGUGACUCUUAGACUGCCGAUUGAGAGUUUGCGGUUUAAAGAAAAGAGCGGGUCGAGACUGAACCUCUGGAAAAAAGAAGGUUCUCCUCUUUAUUCUGAUUCAAGUUCAUGCCGGAAUCAGACCUCUCCGCUUCUUUGCUUCAGGUCGAGCGGCCUUCUGUCCUGACUCAUGAAAAAAGAUAACUUCCCGUAGGUCGAGCCAUUGCUUCCUCUUCCCUCUACACCGCUACGUGGGGUCGAGCCUCAAAUUCUUUGAGCCUCUUUCAGUUACGAAUUUUUAGUUCUUUAAUGAAAGAGAUCAUACACCCGAAAGAGAGAAAAUGGAAAGAUCUCUUUCUCAUCCAUGAAUGAAUUGCCUUUCAAUUCUUCCUUUUUCUUCAAACUACUCAUCCUCCCCGUCCUCAGUCCUAUCCAUAUUAACCUGUCAUCUUGACUUGCGCUCCUCGCAAUAUGCGCCUUCCAGUCCUCAGUCCUAUCCAUUAGAACGAACCGGAGGACUAUUGCUGAAUUCAGCCUGUCUUAUGGCGCCAUUAAUUGAGUUCAUCCGUCCUUGUUUAGGAAAGCACUCGAGUAAUUGUUACAGGUUCAGUGAAAAUCGAGGAGAGAGAAGGAAAAGCAGACGGAGGUCUUGCACAAAGUAGCUUGACUGGAUCCGUCGGAAUAGGUUGAAGUAUCUCUUUCCAGAGGGGCAAAGGAAUGAACUUGAAUCAGAGUAAUAAGUACGACCGCGAGAAAGAAGCAAGUCCACCCACCAUCAUACUCAAAGUCAAGGUCACAUCUCUUAGUAUUAGAUCUUGCUCUGGCACUGAAAUCGGCGGACAACAAGCGGAAGCUUUCCCGGCCUCGUCUCAUUCAACAAGGGCAGAAGGAGAUGUUUCAGAAGUAGCCCACAGAGCGCUUCUUUCAGUGGAAGUUCUUGUUCCAGUUGAGGAUGCUCUCGUUCUUCCAGGAGAAGUAGCCUCAUCCCUUCUGAGAUGAGAUCGGAGAGGCUGACAACUGUAAGAUUAAGCCAGGAGUGGGAGUAUGUGAGGUGCAGGUAGGGAAUUGUGUAAAGUGCUCUUUCUACAGUGGCUGUAGCCCUUGUUCAUUGAGGCGGUUCUAGCUGCUGAGUCAGAGUACGAGGGCUAGGCCCAGGCAGAGUUAGCGAGACUGGUCGGAAGGAAGUAUGAGAAUGAAUAAGAGCUUUAGAAACGUACUAUGAUAAAGAAGUAGUCUCACUCAGUGGAAUCAGAGAGAACAUCUACAGCGGAAUGAGAUGUAGCAUUGGAGAAUGAGUCAAGCUAUCACUGGGUCGCAAAGGGAAGAUCCGGAAGCCGUCUCGGCGGAAGUCUCCCAGUUUCAUUUAAGCUGUCAAAAUAGUCGAUUUACAAGAAAAUCAAGGUCCAGAUUAGCUUAAUUAGUCGACGUAGGAGGCUCCCCAUAAAUCAGAGGUUAGGAGCUCUUUUCUGUCUGUCUUCCCGCGGGAAAAUGAGUGAUCCUUUGCUUGAUCUUUCUCAGAAUGCACUUCAGACGAGAGAUGAAAAUUCAUCAAAAAAGAAAGUACUUAAGAAAAGCAAGAAGAAGAAUCCGUUAAGAAAAGCAAGCACUCUUUCUAUAAUAAAAAGCUCAUGAACGAUAAUGAAAGAAUCCACAGAUCUUAAUGUUUCUGACUCAGCCGGUCUCCUCAAUCUGGUGCAAGGGUUGCGGAGAAUGAGAUCCGAUUCCGAGGAGAUGAUAACCUCAUUAUAAGGUAGAUAGAGGAAAGCCGAAUCGAUUAAGAUCGCCUCCUAACCUCUCUGCUUUCCUAAAAAAAGACUGCUGACUUAGGAUGGUUCUAACCCUAGAUCUCUCCGAAACCUCGAGCCAAUAUCCCUAUAUCGCUCCUCCCUCUCUUGCUAGCCCCGUGGGUUAGUAGGAUUACUCCACGUAGCGGUAAUUCUAUCUUCUCAUUCGAUUAAGGAGAUAGGAGGUUCCUGCUUUCUUGGAGAGUGGGGGAGGCAGAGGUAACUGAACUAAGAAGAAGACAGGGAUCUCAGCUGCUAUCCCGGAUUGACCGGAAAGGAAGCUAUCACAAUGAUCGGUUGAGGAAGAGGUUAGAAUAUCUCUGAUUAUUAGUUUCGCCGAGGCUGUGGAAGGAACUCUAGGCUUUCCUUUAUCUUCCUUCUAUGUUUAUGGAGCGGAGCCAAGUUCGAACUAAGAGGAGAUCCAAAUCCAGAAAAGAAAGGAUAUAAUAUAAGAGAAAGCUAAGCUAAUAUGGAUAUAAAGAACGACUAAGGACGGAGGACGGAAUCAAAAGAUAUAGGAAGACGGAGAAGGAGGAAUUUGAAAGAAAGGAAGACGGUCAUAGCAGUCCGCUCCAUAAAAUCAGUGAAUAAGGUUCAAAGAAGAUUUCAUUCUUCAUGCACUCCCUCCUUUCAUUUUCUUCUUCCGCUCCGCUUCUCUGCUGAAGGUUCCUGGUUUAAUUAACUACUAAAAAGCCUUGUUCAUUGAUUGAAUUAUCUUUUGCAUCAAAAUUCAAUUCUUCUGCUUCUGAAAACAGAAUGAAUAAGGAAUAAUCUCUUAGUCUGAUUCCAAAAAGUAGGCUACGAAGGCUCCGUCAGAUAGGCUUUCCUCCUAUAUUGAUUCUAAAAAAAGGCGGACUUCUUUAUGGUCCGAAGGACAGACAGGCGCAUUGAAUAGAUUAUGCUGAAGGAGGUGCAAAGAAAGAAAGCUAAUAUGGAAAGUCCGGAGGACUGGUCCUUCUAAAGAAAUAGGAUGAAUAGUCAAGAGGUGCAAAGAAUAUUGCGUAAUCAGUCAUUCAAUCUUCUUUGAACCUUUGUUUUUGGGGUAGAGUCCACCGGAGGCUCAAAGAAUUUGAGGAAAGGCGCAAAGAAUAUUGCGAGAGAGGACGCUAAAAUCAAGGCGGCAAAGAAAAGGUGAAUAUAAGAGUCGGAGCGAAGCUGAUUUGUUGUAGAGUUUACGAGGUUAGCCCUAGCCUCAAGAGCUCAUCCUAUCACUCAUCAUCUGACUUGGUGCGGGAAAUGGGAAGAAUCUAGCUCGACUCCAGACCGAUUAGGAAGCUCCCCCGAGUAGGAGAAUGAUCAGUGGAAUAAGAUAAAUAGGAAGAAAGAAAGAGGAGAUCAAUUAAGAAGUCAAUGAACGAGGCUCAAACGGGUUCAAUUCCCACUCCGCGGUGAGAAGUUCCCUUCCCUUUGCAAAAAAGCCUAAUGGGUCUGCUGUACAAAAUGGAGCUGCCCGCUCUUUGGCUGACCUCCCAUGCGGGUUGACCCAGAAGUAGAAGUCAAGAAAGAAGGAAUGGAUGGAAAGUCGUCUUUGCCCAAGUGUGAACUGCAGACGAAUUUGGAAGCUCCACACGAACCGAUUUCCGCUAUUCUGGAUUCUUAUUGAGAAAAGAAAUAUGAUUCAGCGAAGUUUCUAUGGUCCUUUGCCUAGUCUCGGUCCACAGUGGAAGGCUCCGCACCCGAGCCUCCUUAGACUCAGCGGAAGUCCCUUUGUUCAUUGAGGCGGUCUAAAUAUGAUAAGUCCGACGCCUAGUCUAUAUCUAGAGUUGACGCAACUCCGUACUGAGGCCUCACUACUACAAAAAUCAAAGAAGAAAACUCCUUCGCUUCAAUUCCCACGCAGGUCCAGAUGAGAGGGCUAAGAAGAAAAAAAGCUUUGUAGAGAGACUCAAAUUGAGCCUAUCUCCCAGUUAAUUCUUAGGCUUUAGGCCUGGGGAAAGAGAGAUAUGAAAGAGCAUACCGAUCGAAGAAGACCUCUGCUUCAACGGAAGCCACUGAAACUGCUCUAGCGUAAGGAUCUUCCCCCCUUGAAACCCGACUUUGGUCGUUCAUGCUUGAGGGCUAACCUCGAAGAUUCAUGGUUCUAGCUCGCGGAUGGAUGAUCCAUAUUAUAGAAUGAGAGGUGUGUAGGAAAGCUUUCUAUUCAUUGUCAGAAAUAUUCCCAAUUCUCCCUCAUUGAGGCGGUGUGAACGAUCCCUUGGACUAGCGCUAGAGAAAGGAGGGAAGGACCCUUAUCGUAUUAUGGGCGAAGCAAGUCAGUAAAGGAGUCCCAAUCGCGGGAUCUCCGUCUUGCAGGCAUUCAUGGGUUCGGGAUCUGAUCUUUCAUCUUCUCUUUCAUUCCCCCUUUCAGAAGCAAGGGAAAGAGUAAGCUCGGCAGAAAGUUGAAGUUCCAUAAAUCAGUCCAACCCACGGGGCGGUCUAGGGAAGGAAUUGAAUUUUGAUGCCAAGAAUGAAAUUCCAUAAACAAGUCCCAGGAAUCUAUUCCAUUAAAAAAAAAGUCGGGUUAUAUAGGCUGAAGAAGGAUAGAAGCUCUUACAAGGAUAGCCCCCUGAAAAUAUUAUGAGAGAUGAGGCUCAAAGAAGAAAGAAGAAUGGCGAAGGCUGAAUGAAAUUUGAGAUUUUCCGCUUUCUUUUUAGGAAUGCAUUAAUUCAGUACGGAAAGAAGAAGAUGUUCAGUUAGCAUCUCUUUUCUUUAAGGAUUCACGCAAAAUCAGGAUGCCUUGGUCGAAAGGCUUAUUAGUUGGAUCGGAGGAAACUCGGAAGAGUCAGCAUGCAAACUCUCUUUUCACUAUCAUCAAAGAAGAAUGCAGAAUGAACUCAAUCGGUACUCCACCCAGGGGCUCAGUUCUUCCAUUGCAUGAGUAGUACGCUCGACCUUCUUUUACUGCGGAUGGAGGUGUAGAGGUGUGAACGCUUUCUUUUCAUAUGAGAAGCUAAAGGAGAAGAACAAGUGAACCCUCGGGCCCAGGGGCAGCAGACUUUGUUUACGACGAGGCGGAUCUCUCCAGGAAAACCCACCAAGAGGAGGUCAGUCAAGCCUAUACGAUUUCAGACCGAUCGAUAUUGGCUUUGAACGAGAAAGCCUCUGAUUAAAGGACUGAUUAAUGGAACUCCGAUCAUUCUUUGAGCCUUGUGAAUUGACUUUCUUCCUUAUUAUUGAAGUAGGUUCUUCCUUUGGAGCUAUUUAUUCCCUUCAGAUUUCAGGCUCAAAGAAUUUGAGUGAAAGAUAGAACUUGAAAAUACAAGACAAAUCCAGGGUUUUGACGAUGUCCAUUUCGCCAUGGGCUUCAUUCAUUGCAUGCUUUCCCCCUAGGCUUUCUCUUUGGAAACAAGUCCAAGAUUCAAUCAAAGGCGCUCGACUAAAAGGAGAGGGACGCUCGACCCAAAGGCAUAAUGACUAGUGCCACGCCCCAAGCACCAAGACUGCUUAUUCCGCAGAAGAAGGAGUUUCACAAAUCCAUCGCGAACGAGAAGGACGAGGCGCUCCUCAGGCGGAGGGAAAGAGGCUGCCUGCGAGAGCUACCUAUUUCGAGAAGAAAGAAAAAGAGUUGCUGACGAGCCCAGUUCGCUUUCUUGAUUUCUCUGGCUCUUGCAUAAGUGGUUGAAGCAGAAGUGCUUCGAUCGAUGAUUAAGUCUUUGAAUUGCCCAAGCCCCCUUAUAGAUAAUUUCUGUAAUUCAUUCAUUCAAAGGCUAAGGAAGAAAGGCUAGACCCCGGAUUUUCUGGGAACAGGGGAGCUCGAAAGGCAGAAGCUUGACCACUCGAUUAUAGGGGCUAGAACAAAGCGAAGCGCAUACGAAGUAGAUUGAGUUUCAGUAUCCUACCAGGCCCGGCGGCUUUCUUCUUGUGGAGUUCGAACCGGAGAAUGAAUUCUCAAAGAUUCUACUUUCAGUGGAUAGUCGGCAUCAAUCAUAUUUCAUUGAUCCUCUGACUAGAGGUUGAUAAGUUUGAGUUCCAUCUUUGCUAUUCAAAUCAGUUCCAAUCUAAUCGAUAAUUCUUUGAGCCCUCCCCCAGAAAAAAGAAUAUUGCAAUUGAGUUCAUCAUAUUGAAAAGCAGACGUUAGGCUCCAUAAGACAGGUCCGAAGGACUAUCCAUAUUAACCUGGCACCUGUGAAAAGAAAAGAAAAGAAUAAUUAACUCAUUAACUCGAAUUCAAGAAUAAUUAGGAUUUCAUAACUCGAAUUCAAGAAUCAUUAUGAAUCUGCUAGAUUUCAGAUUAAUCUGCUAGAUUGAAGACGGAGGGAAAUACAUGAUUUUGCUAGGUUUUGCCCAUAGGGAAGUAGCAAGAAAUCAUGAAAAAUCAGUCAAAAUUAGACAAUUUUCGUGAAAUAGAAAUAUGAAUUCAACCUAUGAAACUGGGACUGACUCCCUAACUAACUAAGUCAGACCCUCUUAACGAACUUAAUGUUUUAGAAAGACUUGAGAAAAGAAUCUGAAGCAAAAACAAAUGUAUCAUAUUAAUUCUUUCUCAAGAUUAUCAAAAACAAUAUUAAGACGAAAGAUUAUCAGAAACCAAUGUAUCGGUCUUAACGAUUUCUCAAGAUUAUCCAAAAAAAAUGUAUCGGUGUCGAUGAUGACGAAGACUAUGAAAAAGACCUAGGCACUACAUAAGAGUCUGAACCCAGAAAUAUAUAUAUCUCAAAUCAGAAAGCAGGCAGGGCGAAGUCAAAAGCCCAGCGCGCACUCUCUUCUUAUCUAAUUAUCUAAGUCUCGCUAUUUCAUCCAAUCCUACAUCCCUCUUUAAAGAAAGGUAGGCCGUGAAGAUAAUAUGAAAGGCAUAUAGGCAUCCAGUCCGGAAAUGGAUUAGCAAGACAAGAAAGGAGGCCAGACCUCCAGAGGCUUUCCCCAUCUACUCAUACUAAUAAUAUAUAAUGAAAGAAGAGCUUUUCUCAGAAAAAGAAUAAGAUCUCACCUGCCCCAAAGAUAUGACCUAAAAAACCUGUGAAGGAGAACCCCAGAAGAGGCUAGGCCAGCAGAGUUAGUUGACUCGGGCAAGGUCACAUCUCUUUCAGAUGCUCUCGUUGCAGUUCCUCCUGUUGAGGAAGACUUGGAAGUUCUUUCAUCUUGACUAUUCUCAUCCUACAUUUCCUGAAUAGCUGGAAGCCUCACCCUAAACUGAGUCAAGACUCCGCGCGAACUAUACUAGAAAAAGAGUUCUUUCCUUAUCAUUUCAUUGCUUCAACUCACAGGAAAACUCUGUCAAGGAAUAUUUGGGUUGGCCAGAAGCGAGAUCUCUUCUCAUCGGGAGGCAGAAUCCCUCGUCCCAGUAGCAGUUGAAGUAGCUGAGUAUGCCUCUGAAGUUGAUCGGUAGGGCAUUGAAUGUCUUACUAAGGCAAAUAAAUAGAAAGAUUGAAUCAUUUCCUGGUCUGUCCCAUAAUCUGAUCUUAAAGCCUGUUUUUUGACUAUUUCAUGGUUCUACGUGUAAACAUGAAAAUCAGUCUAUAGGCAAGGGCUCGACUGAAAGGAGAGAAAGCCUAGCCUCAAUGACUAAUUAAGCUACGUAGAAGGAGUUGAAAGACAAUGAGUCACAUAAAGUAAAGAGGAUGAAAGGAGGAUGAAGAAUUCGUUUAGGAAGCGAGACUGGAAGAAAGGAGCCUCAGUCAACUUAGUAUAGGCGAAGGAGCUCUUUUCUCGGGUUAUCUGAUGUAGAAAGAGUUCUUCCUCUAAGAAGAAGGUAGCCAUGGGAAACUCAGAGUCCGCGAGACCUAUCCACUGAAAGUAGCGGAUUACUAGCUUCUUUCCUUAGCGGAUAGGAAGAUCUAAAGUCAAGCUGGAGAGGAAUGAAGUUGCCAGACCACUAGGGAAAUAGGGAAUAUCUUUCAGAGAAAGAGAGAGAGAUCGAACUAAGCUAAGAAGAAGCUUCAGUUGAAUGAGUCACUGAAAGAGGCUGCAUCAAAGGGCAAUUCUCAAUGAGUAACUGAAUGGGACGGGCCUUCAGGUUUGGGAUGCAGCGCCUACAGCACCGCCUUUCAUUCUUGUCGAGGCGAGUGCGGUUCAUGGGACCUUAUUACGAAGGACUUGCUUGAAGCUUUCCCUACGGAUGAACCUAAUCAUCUGAUCACAAUCCCGCUGCCGCUAUGUCCAGGCGUCCUUCACUCCACCUGCCAAGCCGCCCACUCCGCGGUAUGACAAAGAGUGCCUUUUCGUAUCCCACUGAACGGUAAACUCAAGGUGGACCCUUCAGAAAGUUGACCCCUUCCCCCCUUACUUACAGAAACCCAUCGCUACGGGGUUUACCCCGAACUCGUCCGAUAAGAAAGGACUGACUGAGCCGGGAUCACUCACUAAUACUAAUUGAAUAGAAAAGAAAGAGAGAGAAAAAGAGAUAAAUAAAGAUAGAAAUCAUAUAAAGAGUGGAUCAAACUAGUUCCGAAACUACAGCGACUGGGACAGGGAAUCACAAGGAAACCUCUCACUACCACUAGGAAGAAAGGUAAGACAGACCGGUUGAGGUUGGAAUAGAUAGACCUCCGGGAAGAGGAGAAAGAAGAAAGUGACUUGAGGCUGAGGCAUCGACCAACAAACGGGGAACCUCCAUCAUGCAAGCAUGCAAGCCACUCUUUCAUUGGCAGUUUCCGUCUCAAAGAAUUCAGUCUCAAUCGGGAAAUGAAGGGAGAUACCUUCCCCAAGCACAUAUUCCCCGAAGAAAAGAGUCCCAGUCAGGCCGGCGGCUACCCCUUGGGGUUGGGGUUCAAGCCUUAAGUCCUAAACUCCCCUUGAAUAGCGACAGCUACCACUCAUAGAACAGAAAGUCAUAGCAAAGAAAGGAGACAGCUACAACCCGAGCUCUACUCCAUUCCUUAUUCUUCCGGGAAGGUUGGAACCGAAGGCUGGUUCAAAGCUCUCCUCGAUAAGGAGACCACAAUGAAAGGUUGGAUCGAUAAGGAGACCAAUGAAAGGUUGGAACCGAAGGCUGGUGCUCUCCCCGGCCGUCGUCCGGCUCCGGCACCCACGAGGGGCUGGCUGGGGGGAAAUCCUUAUUCUUCCUUAAUCCGCAUUACUAGUCAAAUACCGUAUUCUCACUUGGGAGGAGGUCAGAGGAAGGAAACUGACCCAAGGUCAAAGCUCUACUCCUUAUUAUUAGGAUGGGGAUGAUUAGGAAGUCACUGAAUCCUCCGUAUCCGUAUUCUUCCUUCAUUGAAGAUCCUCCUUAUCCUUCUUAGGAAGGGGCAGUCCGGGAGUACCGGUCCCAUAUCUAGGGAGGGCUGGGCUCCCGGCGGGAGCAUCCACAUCUCGUUCCCUUCGGUCCGACUACUGUUUAGGAAGAGGGCGGUUUCCAACCUUCCUCGAGCUCCGCGGCUCAUACCCUUUCUUGAAUUGAGGUUCAAAGAAGAUUUCCGGUUUAUUUUACGACUCGAUUCCGUAUUCUUCUUAUUCCCGAGAUUCCUUAUUCUUCCGUCCGGAUUGCUCAUUAUUAGAUUAGGAUGAUUAGGAAUCCAAUCCCCUCAUUAUUAGGAAUAGGAAGAAGAGGAAGUCCGUGAGUCCCGGUCCCAGAUAUAGGGAGGGAGCUACAAAGCUCCUCUGCUUUCUUUCUAGUCAUAUCCGAAAGUUCCUUCUCCUCUCACUCUGGAACAAUCGGAAAGGAAAGAAAGGGGGGAAAUACUCUUUCUCUGGAGGAAAUGGAAAUGGUGAGUCGGGCCAGGUCCCGAUUCCCAAUGCAUGAAAUACCGGACCGCAACCACUCAAAUAAGGGGAGCCUUUCAGUAAGGAAUGGGAAGGCGGACAGACAAUCUUUCCUUCAAUCACAAGCUUGGGGAAGCCUGCGUGCCUAUGUUGCAAGAUCAAUCAGAUCAAAAGCCGUAUAUCUGGGGUCAGUUCUAAAAGUAGCAGGAUUCUCAGGCGCACUCAUCUGAAUUAGUAGGGAUCCCGACAUGGCGGAUCUACCUACUCCAAGUACAAUACCGUCCGAAACCUCUGGCAAGACUCCCAUCCCAGCCCCAGCUUAUGAAGGAAGAGAAUGUGUCUGCCCUAGAGCGGCUCAUACCCUUUCUUGAGUCUAGAGGUAGGCCCAAAGAGUACACUGCCGAGGAGUUGCAGGAACAGUCUCUCCUUUUGGAUUGGAUCGCAACCAACCUUGUCUUCGAGCGGCCCAAGCAAGGAGCUCCUGGUCUAUGGUCCUCCCAGUACCCAAAAGAAACUGAUCAUGAGGCUCUUGCACAAAGGGGGCUUGCGCAUUUACUCGGUGGGAAAAAGGAAGAAGAACUAGUCCUCAGGCAUCUUUUUCUUUGACCUCUGGAUCGUCGACGAGUUCAAGGAGGACAAGCUGGAGAGCCCAUAUGACCGGGACGGACGUCCAGGGCAAUUAUAUUCAUGCCAUACUCACCCUGCAACUUACCCUAUUAAAUAAAUCAAGCAGGGCUUCCGUCUCGAUGGGAAGUAUGAAAGAACGUUCGUCAAGGACACCAAUGUCCAAUUCCAGCUGUUCUUGCUCUCUCCUUCACAGAAAGGUCUUCCACCGAGCCCGAGCCCUUGGUCUUGCUUUGUCCUUUUGAAUUCACUCAUGAAUUUCGUAAAAGAGAAGCUCCCCUCCACAUUUGCCGGCCGAUGACUCUUCUCCCUGGGGACAUCGUCUACUCCAACUUGGAGGAGACUUGGACAAGGCGCUAAGAAUAUUGCUCAGAUUUCCGCUUUCUUUUUGGAUGGAAGAAAGAAGAUCGGCAUUCUUACUCGGCCGAUCUGGUCUCCUCAAUCAGGUCUUCCUUGAAGUUACCGACCCCGCUCCUGGUGGAGACUUCUAUCUGAGUUCUUGCUUUCCCUUGCUUUGAGUACUGAUCAUUCCACUUAGACUGAUUCCUCUAAGUCUAUUCAUUCCAUGCCAGCAUUUCUCCUACUAAUGGGAUGUGAAUAUACUCUAUUUCUCAUAAUAUCCGAGACUGGAAGAGCCUACUUCCUCAAGAGCACUCUUUCAAUACCGACCGGAAUAAGACCAAGACUCCCUACCUAGUCCCAACCUGAACUCAUGAUCAUUCCUCUCCCUCCAGCCUUUCUCCUAUUCAAUCAGCCGACUCGAACCUUGAGUCGACUUUCGAAGAAUGAAAUUCCAUAAAUCAGUCGCAGCAAAAACAAAGCGGAAGUCAUACAAUAUCCCUGUCUUAUGGAGCCUUCUACGCUCUUUAUUUCCUCUCCUUUAUCUUCGCACCCUUUCCUUUGUUCAUUGAUCUUUCACUUCGGAAACGUGGGCUUGAUUUCUAUCUUUUCUCUUGAUUGCGCUAGUCCUAUUCUCUUAAGGCCCCGAGAGUGGAUUUCUGGGGCAAGGGAUGGAUGGCACAUCUGGUCUCGCCCCUACGUGGGCUCCUCUUCCCUACGGUCGAGCCUAGCUCCUCUUCCCUCUUAACUCAUUGAAGAGGCGGAUGUGCUAGUCCCAUUCUGAACUCAAUCCGGUAAAAGGAUGAUUCUGGUCUUUUCUCUGAACUCAUUAACGAGAAUGAAAGAAGAAAAAAAUGGGAAUGAAAAAGAAAGAGGGAGAUUGAAGAUUAAUCUGCUAGAUUGAAGACGGAGGGAAAUACAAGAAAAUGCUAGGUUUUGGGCUCGACUGAUAAGGAGAGCUGAAAAGAAAUAGUAGCAAGAAAUCAUGAAAAAUCCGUCAAAAAAGUACUUUUAUCGUUAAAUAGAAAUCUUCGAUUUACUAUGAAAAAGAAGCAAAAAAGCCGGGAAAUAGCAAUUCAAGAAUCAAGCCUAGGACAGGUAAAAUCAAUGAAGACUUCUAGUUUGAGUUUAUGGUCCGGAUACUGAGAGGUCUAUUCUUUAUUUCACUCCAGGUUAUGAAAGAAAAAUGAUGAUUUCAUUCUCGUUAGCUCAUUAACCAAAGAUACACUUUCUUUAUGGAUAUAAAUCAGUCCCCAAAAGAAAGGUCCAGGUUUCAUAAGACUCCUUCUACGCGGUCUCGCAAUAUUCUUUGCGCCUAACGGAGGGAUAAAGAAAUAGAAAGUAGUUUACUAGUUUAAGGCUGUCCGCUACGCUACGCUCCUGAUAAAGAAAGGUUCAAAGAAGAUUGAAAGGUUGAGAAAUACAGGAUCAAGUAGUUGACGGCUGUGCUGUGUCCGCUACGCUCCGCUUCCCCUCCUCCGAAAGAAAGGACUAAGAAAGAAAUCAGAAUUUCAAUAGUCACUUAGUAAUCAAGAUUUUCACUCUCAUCAAUUAGAAGAAUGUCAUCUUGACCCGAGGAACUAAAAUAGGACUUCGGACCACUAAAACCUAGUUUGAAUUGCUAAUAACCUUUCGCUGAUAAAUGGAGUCUUUAUGGCUUUUAUGCCACUUUAGUUAUCUUAAAAACGAGUUUUGACUCCAAAGUCUGAACCUACUAAAAUAUAAGAAGCCAGAGAAGACGAUAAAGGAGGGAGCGGGAAAAUGCAAUGUUUACUCUUUUAGAGUAGUUUUCUUUGAAUUACUUAUACUCAAACUCUAUUUACUCUUUUUCAUCUUCAAAUGGACCGAGUUUCCGGCAUGUUUUCACCUUGCAUGAGAGAGAAGACUUCCAGUUUCAUUCGAAGUUCAUUCAAAAUAUUAAGAGUGAGCGCAAAGGGCUAGUUCACACCUCUCCUCUCCCUAGGCUUUCUUCUGAAAACACAAGAGAUAUCCCACGGAGCGGAAUCAGACUCCUACGGAGGGGGUCGAAAGCAAUGCUUCUUUAUUUCAGUAAAAAGAGAAGGAAGCCCUGAUUUUUGCCUUACGAAAGAUCUCCUUCUUCCGAUCGCUUUAGAAAGUCAUAAGUAGUAAAGACUUAUCGUUAAUGAGCAAGGAAAUAGGGAAAAAACUCCCCUGCGACAGAACUGCUGCUUCCUCGUAACAGGAUCCCACUACUAGGUAUAUGAAGAAUGGCUUUUAGUCAUAGCGCUGCGAUCCAGCCGGAUCAAGCAAGGGAUGGAGGCGCCAUAAGAUAAGACAGGUCCGGAGGGGAGGACGGGAGGCGCAAAGAAUAUUGCUCAAAGCAAAGAAUAUUGCCGGACUGGCUUUUUUUUGACAAAUACAAAUAUUAGGGUUGUGAAGAAAAAAGAGAGUUCACGUGCAAAACCCCCGUUUCAUGAAAAAAAAGCCAUUGCAUUGCCAUGGAAAAAUCUCUUUUCUCAGUAGCUGAGGCUCGACAGUUAAGGAGAGGAUGCCUCAUCCCUUGAUCGAUCGGUAAGCUCGUGAUCGAGCUAUUCAUUCUAAGAAAAAGGAGCUUCUUUCUGAAACCUACUUAAAGGAAAGUUCAGUCAGGAAAGAAGGCACCCAAUACUGAAAGAGGGUACAUGGCCUUCUACGCGGUAAAGCUUCUUCUCUCAACUGCUAGAACUCCGUUGCCUUCGCACCUCUCCUAAGAAUUCCCUAUUUCCACUCUCGGGAAAGAUUGAAUGAGAACUUCAAGAUUCACCCUCUCAAUCCGAUAACUCAAAAAAGACCAUCUAAUGGUCUCUGGUCUCGCUGCUUCGCUCCUUUUCUUCGAGAUCUUCUCUUCAAAGAGGCAGUGGAAGUGGCUGAGGAUUUCUUGCUGCAGACAGAUAAGGAUGCUAGGGUGGGUAGGGCAUUUUGCGGGAUCUCUUUCCGGCCCCACUACGCGGAAAGACUCCGGUAAGCCAUUCAGACUCCCAGAAAGAAAAAGUUGAAUGAAAAGAGAAUCGGAAUUCUCAUCAGUCCAAGCCAAGGAAAAGAAAGUGAUCCAGUUGAGACAGGAUGCUAAUUCUAGCAUCUUUGAAUAGGUUUUUCUCUCUACUCUGAGAAAAGAGUUUACCAUCUGGACCCUUUCGUCAUUCCUUUCCUAAAGUGAAGAAAAAAGAGCCAUGCGAGGGAGGACAGUGAGCACUAUUAGAUAAAUGAGGUAAUAUUUCUUUGCAGGCCUCAUAUUAAUAGGCGAAAAUGCUUUCAUCUUCAUUGACUGUGGCUAAGCAUUUCUACUUCUCAAAAAAAGAAUACCAAGACAAGCUAUUCAAAGGCUUAAGACAUGCAAUUCUCAUUAUAUUAAUAAAGUCAGGAUAUUAAUAAAGUCAGGAGUCCAAGCUUUUUUGACCUGAAAGCUAAGGCCACGAGCCCACGGAGCGGGACUGAGGAGAUAUCAGAAAGAGUGCAGGCAUUACUUUUUGACAAUGAAAGAUGGGUUUUCUACUUGAAUUUGAGUGGAAGAAAGCCGCCUAUCUUUAAAACUCAAUGAAGAAGAAAUGACUAUCUACCGUGCACAAGGGAUAGUAGAUCGUAGACUCGCUUCCCUCUUCAUGCUAGCGCCCAGGUUUCCAUAGUCUAGACCUCGAGAGGCUGAACUUCCAAAUUCUUCUUAGUGCAUCGAAAUUUCCUAUUUUUUUUUAGCAGAUCACACUACCAUUCAUUGCCAACCCAAGCAAUCGAUGUGGAAGACUUCGCGGAAUAACUUCUUCUUACCUUCCUCUUUCUUGAUGAGGACGGAAGCACAUCCCUUUCCGCAGGAUCAGCAAGGACCGAUUACCACGGUUUUCGCUGCAAUCCUAGAUUAGGCAAGAACGUCCGCUUAUCUUUUUUCUUGGGAGCGGACAAAGGCUAAGCUAGUCUUCUUACCGAUCUCUAGCUUUGGUGAGCGAGACCAGUCUCAUCACCCCAUUAAUAAAGUAGCAUCCACAGAUUAAGACAAAGACAAAGUACUAUUAUUUCGAAGGACUAUUCAUCCUAUUUCUUUAGAAGGACUUCGCCUUCAAUGCCCAGGAGGCUCAAAGAAGCAAAAACCCUCUGCGGUCAGUCCUUCGGACCAGCUGACUAUCCAAACCAAAGGCAAAGGACGUUCAAAGUACCAAAUAGAAUUCGACGGGUCAGGCAGGGGAAUCAUAAUCCGUCACAGUUGCGAGAUGGGGCUGGGCUCAACCUAAAUCAAGACAUUUCAGGGCAAUCCAGCUCGUUGAGGGAGAGGGAAUGAGAUCUCUUUCCUGAAUAGCUCAGCUCCCCUCUUUGGAUCCCACCCACGUAGCGGUAGGAAGUAUUACCUUUUGGGACAUAAGCCUUUACUUAUAGAUUUCUUUGAAUUCAGCCUUGAUCUCUGAAUGCCCCAACACACUCACUCGAUUGAGAAAGAAGAGAACUACUCCUCCUAAACUGGGACUGAUUUUGCAACCUAUGAAAGAGAACUUCAUGAAAACGAAGGUCAAUCUGGCCUAUUCCCCCAUCCAGCAGAUCUCACCUCUCACUCUACAACUCUCUUUGUUCUCCCAACUCCGUGGGAAGGGCGGAUGAAGGAGAGUCCGCUCUUUCAAGAGAAAGACUAAGAUCUCGACAGGAUCUCGAAAUACAGAAAUGUGUGUCAGGAAUGAGUGAAGUAGGACGAGUUAGCGGCAAAGGGAAAAGAGAUAGGUUUUAUGAAAGCGUGUGCUUGGGCAGUCAAUCCUAUUUACGAUAGGAGAGAUCCUGGAUUCUUAAUGAUUGUAGUACGUAGAAGUUCUUGUUCCAUGUCCGCCGUUGAAGCAGUUGUUUAAGGAGAAUUCGGUAAGCUGAAAGAUGCCUUAUGCACUGCAAAAAGCGUGGCUUUCAACAGGAAAGUUCAGUCCUUAUUUACUUUUAGAAUAAGACGAAAGGCAAGAUGGAUAGUCCUUCGGUUCCUAAUACUCCUAACGUCUGAAACUUUAGCGGAAUUCUUGAGUCCGGAGGUUCAAAGAAUAUUGACAAAGAAUAUUGCGGAAAAGUCAAGAAAAGAAGAAUGAACUCAUUAACUCGAAUGAAAGAAGAAUUCUGAUUGAAUCACCCAUAACCUGGAGGGAAAUCCAGAAUAGACCCGUAUUUCUCCGGACCAGAAACCAUAAGAAAACUCUGUUCAUUGAUUUUACCUGUCCUAGGAGUUCUUCUUUCAUUGCGUUUUCCCGGCUUUUUUGCUUCUAAAUAGGACUUUUGUUAAUCUUGAUAAAUAACGAUAAUUGUCUAAUUUUGACUGAUUUUUCAUGAUUUCUUGCUACUUUAUAGGCCCAAAACCUAGCAUUUCCCUCCGCGGAUUCAUCUGAAAUCUAGCAGAUUCUUUUUGUUUUUAGCUUCUUUCAUUAUCGUUAAUGAACGGAUUUUCUUUUCUUUUUUUCUUGACUUUGAACAGGCUCAAUGCAAUUUGAGCUUUAACCGCUACGCUACGCUCCAAUCAAUGAACAAAGGAGAAAGAAAGUCUUUAGUUGACGGCUGUCCGCUACGCUUCUGCUCCUCCGUUCUAAUGGACCAACAAGAAAGAGUUCUUCGCAAAUUCUUUGCGCCUGGACCAAAGGUUAAUAUGGAUAGUCCUACGGAUAAAUAGAGGAUCAAGUGCUUUAACCGCUACGCUACGGCUCCGCUUCUGCGUAGGAGAAAGAAAGAAGAAGAUAUUCACAUAAAGAAGAAAUGAAUAAGGAAGAGAAUGAAAGAGAGAAUUAACAGAUCAUUCCACUGCUUGUGAGGAAGAAAAUCAAUGAACAAGGCUCUUUUCCGCAAUAUUCAAAGCUCCGAUCAUUCAUAGAUUAUGCUGAUUAAUAUGGAUAGUCCUUCGGACGCAGAAAGCUAGGCCCAAAGUUCGGUUAAUUACGGAAAGUCCUCCGGACUACGGAUAAAUCACCUGGAGCCUGAUUUUCCAUUUGCACCUGCCUUCGGACGGCGCAAAGAAUUUGCGAAAGAUUCUCCCUCACUCACAGAAGAAGGAAAAGCGAGGUUCGGCAGAUGCCCACGUAGCGGAAUCGGAAUGAGAUCAGUUGAAGUAGCUCAUACUCGGCUCGGGGAAUGAGAUCUUUCUCUUGAUAAAAGAAAGGUUCUUUUAAAAGAAAGGAUUAAGAUCACCCAUUAAUCUUCUCUUAAAUACAGAGAUUAUCCUCUUUCUCUACGUGCUUUCCGAAUCUACUUUAGUCAGUCCGGAAAUUCUCUCAUCAGAAAGCAAUACGGUAUGGUAUGUCCGCAGAAAGGGGGCAUGAUCGGGCCCCCACGGAGGGGGAAUCACUCGCGCAUCCAUCUUGCUCUCAGUUGUGCCGACCGAAGAAGAAAGAGUUGGUGGGGACUCAUCAUCAGUAAGACGAAAGGUGGAAAAACCCGUAUUCAGACAGGGUUUCCACGGAAUGAUAAUGAGAUUUGACUCCGUCAUAGCAAGCCUUCAUCCAUGGGCUAGAACCAACGGAAAGAGUCUGACUCAAAGGUUAUUAGACUAAAGCGCGUGAUAAAGAACUCAAUUUGCUUUGAUAAUAGAAUCCGAAUUCGGAAGGUGCUAAGCCACUCAACCAUAGGAUCGGGGAAAAGCCUCAUUAAGAAGAUCUUUCCACUGGAUUUUCUUACUCUUUACUAUGAUUCCACCGGGCUCAUUCUUCAAUUAGUUGAGAACACUCAUCCGUGCUAAGAAAGAUCGUCAGAUCGGAAAGGUAGGCUUUCUCUUUCUUCCUUACUCUUUUAGUCUCUUAUUUACACAUUCCACGUCGGAGAAAACUGACCAGUCAAAUACUAUGAAGGAGUGCAGAAUUAGAUGGUCAAAAGGACGGGUGCGGAGAGAAGGGAUGAAUAUGCUCCACCAGCCUUUUCUCAUGCAUCUGAAGUACGAGGGGAGUCCUGUUUCAUAAGUAGUAGGGUAGGUAAUCGCUGUAGAGCUAACUAAAUACGGGCUUCUGCGCCCACCCAUGAUUCUGAAGAAAAAGCAUAUAAUCAAGGCGCUGACUAACCUCCCAAUCGUGCUCGCCCAGUAAGCGAAAGCUGCUCGCCCAAUAGGUGCGAACGAAGGAUACGAGUAGGAGCCUUUAGGCUAAAUAAAAGAAGACAGGUAUACUUUGGUGCCUUAUCAAUCUUUAUCUCACCGCCCUUUGAAAGAAAAGAAGUUAAUAUGGAUAGUAGGCAACUGGAGGCAAGGUUAUCAGCCAAGCGCUUUUAUCUAAUAGAAUAAUCAAAGACGAAAAAAGAGGCGCUGCUCGAAGAAGAUUGAAAAUCAGAGACCUACGGCGGCCUACGGAGAAUCCUGGUUUUAGACCUACUUAACCUACUUAAAGGAGGAAAGAAAGCCUAUCCAUCCGUCCUUUUGACUCCUUCAUUCCUUUCCGUAGGCCGUCUUCGUCAUCAUCAAUACCGCUCCGAAGGACUUGUCUUUCUUCUUUCUCUCUUUUACGGAGCCUUCUACGCGGCAAGAAAUGAAGGAGUCCAAAGGACGGAAUAAGACUACUCCUCGGAUGAAUGGCUGAUUUUCUUGUCAAAAACGACUAUUAUCAUGAAAUAGGAUAAGUCGCCUUUCAUUCAUUCAAGGUGCAAAGAAUAUUGCGUCUUUGCGCCUUCUGACUUUAUCAAGCUUAAUCUGUGAAUAAAGAAAGAGGUCCAAAGGAAGAAGUUUGCCUAGGGAAAAGGUAAAGAAAGAACGUCGCAAAAGGAGAGGCUGUCAUAUGCGAGACACAAGACGAUCGUACAAAUCCCCUUGAAAUCAGGUCAGGGAAAGCUCCCAUCUACAAUCCUCAAGGCCCCUGGUUAGCCGCUUUUUUGCUCCGAAAACAAUCAAAGCAGCCCUUCGCGCCGAUCCUAUUUAUUAAGUCAAGCUUUUUCCUCGCAAUAUUCUUUGCACCGCGGAGUGGGUCGCAAUGACGAAAGGGAUGCAGAUGCUCCCUAGUUGGAAGGUGGGCUUUCUUCUUCUUCUUUUCACUUUUCAUUGAUUCUUCGAACCUUCUUUUCUUUCCUUUUCCUUCUGUUAAAUAAAUCAGUCCAUUUUAACGGCUCUUUUUUGGAAUUCAGAGGUGCACGAGAGAAUAUUUCACUUUCCAUUUCAUCUUAAUGAAUGAGCGGCUAAUCCACGAGGUGACUGACCAUUAGAACAUGUUCAGGUGGGCAUCCCACGUAGCGGUAAGAAGCCCCAGUUGGGGAGGAAUCCCGAUCAGUGUGGAGAACGAAAGUGGAUUUCCUUCUUUCGAUAAUUCUUUGAGCCUCUAUGCGCUUCCUCUCUUUCCAUCUCGCCUCGCUUGAUCUUUCUCAUUCUGCCCUUCUGACUUACUUGUCUGGCCGACGAUUUCUUCCUUUCCUGUCCCCAAAAUGUAGGAUGCAACGGCAAGACUCCUACUACGCUUCUGCUCCUCCGUCAAAUAAGAGUCAAAUCGAUAGGAUUACAUCUUGGGAGCUUUCAUAAGCCUUUUAUGAGGCGUGACGAUGGCGCGAUCUGCCCUACCUCUCAACGGAUGAGGCAUCUGAACCCUAGGCAAAAUCUUAUGCUACCGAUCUUUCAACUCGAAGGGAAAGAAGAAUGGAAGAAAGAAGAAAGCCCCCUUCCUUCGUUCGGGAAAAGCUGCAAGAGAGAAUGAAAGAGGGACAGAUUCCCCGACUGACUCCCUGUCUAAAGAAGGUCGAGCAGCAAGGGCCCCCUACGCGGGAUCACAUACCGAUCCCGCAACUGAGAAUGCUACAGAGAAGACCUUCCCGAUCCAACUCCUUGUCUUAUGGUGCGCCUAUGGCUUUGAAAAAAGCUCUUGCCUCUUGUUCUGCCUCUUGAGCAGCUCUUCCACUUUUUCUUCUUCCAAUCCCUACUUCUCCUCAUGAAAAAAGAGUCACAAAGGUGGGACAUCUUGAGAGUAUCUUAAUGUAAAUCCUAUUUAUUAAUAAGCUUAUCAUGAGCGAUCGAAGGAAAGUACUGCAGC